GGGAGCUUGCUCCCUGAUGUUAGCGGCGGACGGGUGAGUAACACGUGGGUAACCUGCCUGUAAGACUGGGAUAACUCCGGGAAACCGGGGCUAAUACCGGAUGGUUGUUUGAACCGCAUGGUUCAGACAUAAAAGGUGGCUUCGGCUACCACUUACAGAUGGACCCGCGGCGCAUUAGCUAGUUGGUGAGGUAACGGCUCACCAAGGCGACGAUGCGUAGCCGACCUGAGAGGGUGAUCGGCCACACUGGGACUGAGACACGGCCCAGACUCCUACGGGAGGCAGCAGUAGGGAAUCUUCCGCAAUGGACGAAAGUCUGACGGAGCAACGCCGCGUGAGUGAUGAAGGUUUUCGGAUCGUAAAGCUCUGUUGUUAGGGAAGAACAAGUGCCGUUCAAAUAGGGCGGCACCUUGACGGUACCUAACCAGAAAGCCACGGCUAACUACGUGCCAGCAGCCGCGGUAAUACGUAGGUGGCAAGCGUUGUCCGGAAUUAUUGGGCGUAAAGGGCUCGCAGGCGGUUUCUUAAGUCUGAUGUGAAAGCCCCCGGCUCAACCGGGGAGGGUCAUUGG
rnacentral:rRNA from 1 species